GAUGAAGAACGUAGCGAAAUGCGAUAAGUAGUGUGAAUUGCAGAAUUCAGUGAAUCAUCGAAUCUUUGAACGCACCUUGCGCUCCUUGGUAUUCCUUGGAGCAUGCCUGUUUGAGUAUCAUGAGCAAAUCUCAAAGUCGAUCCUUUUGUUAAUUCAAUUGGUUUGCUUUGGACUUGGAGGCCUUGCAGAUUUCACCGUCUGCUCCUCUUAAAUGCAUUAGCUGGAUCUCAGUAUUAUGCUUGGUUCCACUCGGCGUGAUAAGUAUCACUCGCUGAGGACACUGUAAAAGGUGGCCAGGAAAAUACUGAUCGAACCGCUUCUAACGGUCUAUUAACUUAGACAAUUACCCUUAAGUUUGAUCUCAAAUCAGGUAGGACUACCCGCUGAACUUAAGCAUAUCAAUAAGCGGAGGA
rnacentral:misc_RNA from 1 species